rnacentral:lncRNA from 1 species
AGGGGAAGUGACACAAAAGAAAGUGCCUUUAAAGGGGAGUGACAACUUUUUGAGUGCACUUCGACUUGGAACUCUCACUUGGAGUAGAACCUCCUGUGAGAGAGAGUUCUACUGGGAGCUCUACUGGGAGUUCAACCUGGAGUGGAGACUGAUAAAGAAUCUGCUGACUGGUCUGACAUGUGGUGACCAGGAAGGAGUCAGAGAGCCAAUAAGGUCUUGUGUCUCCUCCCAUACACCCAAGAAUGUGCAUCCAUUUGGUCCUCUCAGGAAACCAGAUGAAUUGAGGAACUGCAGAAAGACCAAAGAGAACCACCAGAUGGAGAUUCUGUUGGAAGCAUAGACAUAGAAGAAAAGGAGCCAGACGGAAAUAUGAAAGGGAAGGAGGAUUGGCACAGAUCCAUGAUAUGGAAUUGAGAUGAUGUAAGUCACUAGGGAAAUGAGGUCCCUCACUGACCAGAGAUUCGACUCAUUAAUAUUUUCAAAUACUUUCCCCUUAAGGGUGUGGGCAGGAUAGCAUAAUGCUGGAGAAUUGCUAUAUAUCUCUAAGGAAUCUGAGGCCUUAGGAGGGGUUUCAUUACUUCCUAGAAGGGCUAGAUUAUUUCCUUUUUCUGUGGGACCCUAUGUAGAGAUGUUGGGCAGUACUUUAAGUCAAAUGGAGUAUUUAGAUCCCAGGGGAAAGUGGAAGCCCACUGGAAAGAGGGAGGAAGCUAUUUUUGUUGUUUCUAUAAGUCCUUUGUAUUUUUGGUUAGGAUAAAUAUAGUUGUGACUUUUAAAGAAAAAUUGUUAGCUUGAGAUU